rnacentral:rRNA from 1 species
AUUGAACGCUGGCGGCAUGCCUUACACAUGCAAGUCGAACGGUAACAGGUUAAGCUGACGAGUGGCGAACGGGUGAGUAAUAUAUCGGAACGUGCCCAGCCGUGGGGGAUAACGUAGCGAAAGCUACGCUAAUACCGCAUACGAUCUACGGAUGAAAGCGGGGGAUCGCAAGACCUCGCGCGAUUGGAGCGGCCGAUAUCAGAUUAGGUUGUUGGUGAGGUAAAAGCUCACCAAGCCUGCGAUCUGUAGCUGGUCUGAGAGGACGACCAGCCACACUGGAACUGAGACACGGUCCAGACUCCUACGGGAGGCAGCAGUGGGGAAUUUUGGACAAUGGACGCAAGUCUGAUCCAGCAAUGCCGCGUGCAGGACGAAGGCCUUCGGGUUGUAAACUGCUUUUGUACGGAACGAAACGGUGAGCUCUAAUAUAGUUUGCUAAUGACGGUACCGUAAGAAUAAGCACCGGCUAACUACGUGCCAGCCGCCGCGGUAA